UACGAAGGGUGCGAGCGUUGUUCGGAGUCACUGGGCGUAAAGGGCGCGUAGGUGGUUAUUCAAGUUAGGUGUGAAAGCCCUGGGCUUAACCCGGGAACUGCACUUGAUACUGGAUGGCUAGAGGAAGGAAGAGGAUAGCGGAAUUCCUAGUGUAGAGGUGAAAUUCGUAGAUAUUAGGAAGAACACCGGUGGCGAAGGCGGCUAUCUGGUCCUUAUCUGACACUGAGGCGCGAAAGCGUGGGGAGCAAACAGG
rnacentral:rRNA from 1 species